AAGUCGAACGAAGUAGCAAUACUUAGUGGCAGACGGGUGAGUAACAUGUGGGUAUCUUCCCUUUGGUGAGGAAUAACACGAGGAAACUUGUGCUAAUACCUCAAAAGUCUUUACGGAGAAAGCUUUAUGCGCCGAUGGAUGAGCCCGCACUUGAUUAGUUUGUUGGUGGGGUAAUGGCCUACCAAGACUUUGAUCAAUAGCUGAUCUGAGAGGAUGAUCAGCCACAUUGGGACUGAGACACGGCCCAAACUCCUACGGGAGGCAGCAGUAGGGAAUAUUGCACAAUGGAGGAAACUCUGAUGCAGCGAUGCCGCGUAAGUGAAGAAGGCCUUUGGGUUGUAAAGCUCUUUCGUCGGGGAAGAAAAUGACGGUACCCGAAUAAGAAGGUCCGGCUAACUUCGUGCCAGCAGCCGCGGUAAUACGAAGGGACCUAGCGUAGUUCGGAAUUACUGGGCUUAAAGAGUUCGUAGGUGGUUAAAAAAGUUGGUUGUGAAAUCCCGAAGCUUAACUUCGGGACUGCAAUCAAAACUUUUUAGCUAGAGUAUGAUAGAGGAAAGCAGAAUUUCUAGUGUAGAGGUGAAAUUCGUAGAUAUUAGAGAGAAUACCAAUUGCGAAGGCAGCUUUCUGGAUCAUUACUGACGCUGAGGAACGAAAGCAUGGGUAGCGAAGAGGAUUAGAUACCCUCGUAGUCCAUGCCGUAAACGAUGUGUGUUAGACGUUGGAAAUUUAUUUUCAGUGUCGCAGCGAAAGCAGUAAACACACCGCCUGGGGAGUACGACCGCAAGGUUAAAACUCAAAUGAAUUGACGGGGACCCGCACAAGUAGUGGAGCAUGUGGUUUAAUUCGAAGAUACGCGCAGAACCUUACCAACACUUGACAUGUUCGUCGCGGCUCUAAGAGAUUAGAGCUUUCGGUUCGGCCGGACGAAACACAGGUGCUGCAUGGCUGUCGUCAGCUCG
rnacentral:rRNA from 1 species